CCUGGUGGUCUAGUGGCUAGGAUUCAGUGCUCUAACCGCCACCGCCCGGGUUCGAUUCCUGGUCACUGAA